GACGAACGCUGGCGGCGUGCUUAACACAUGCAAGUCGAACGGAAAGUCCCUGCUUUUGUGUGGUUCUCGAGUGGCGAACGGGGUUGUAACACGUACGUGACCUGCCCUUGACUUUGGGAUAACUUCAGGAAACUGGGGCUAAUACCGGAUAGGAGCUCCUGCUGCAUGAUGGUGGUUGGAGAGUUUCGGCGGUUGGGGAUGUACCGGCGGCUCAUCAGUUUGUUGGUGGGGUAGUGGCUUACCAAGGCUUUGACGGGUAGCCGGACUGAGAGGGUGACAGGGCACAUAGGCACAGGGGAACGGCCCGGACGCAAUCGGGAGGAAGGGGUGGGAAACAUAGGACGAUGGGCCGAAGGCUGAAGCAGCAACGCCGGGUGGGGGAUGACGGCUGUCGGGUUGGAAAGCGCUUUCGCGUGUGACGAAGCGUGAGUGACGGAAAUGACCAAAGAGGCACCGGUAACUUAGGG
rnacentral:rRNA from 1 species